ACAUAUAUAUAUAUAUAUAUCAUUCGGAUGUAUAAAAAUAAUAAUACUUAACACGUCACACUUCGUUCGUUUUGAAGGUGUUUCUAAAGGAAGAAAACAAAAAAAGGAAAAUGAAGGAGAAAAAAAAGAAGGUAUUACGUGAACCAAUGUGCACGUGCAAUGACAAAUGUGGACACUGAAUAUCUUCGAAGAGUUCUACUCAUUGUCAAAUAAUACGCACACGAUAUGCGAUGCGCACGAUAGUCGAAGGGGUCUCUCUGAUCUCGAAGAUCAGAAUGAAGAGCCGACAUAUCACCACCAGCAUGUUCACCUAAUCUUCGAAUCGUUUCUGCCAAGGGUCCGCUCAAUGCUUGCAAUCUUCUCCAAGAUUGAGCGUAUUGUCUUCUCACUAGUUCUAUGAUGGUACUGGUCAAUGCUAAGCCCACCAGGAUGUAUAAGCAGAAACUGUGCAAACGGAACAAGCAAUCGUCGCGAACUGAUGCAGAUUCCACAAGGAUCUUCGAUUACUUCAAACACGUCUCUCCCGAAUAAGAUCGAAUGGAACUCCAUCUCUUCGGUUUUAUCUACCAAUUCA